rnacentral:rRNA from 1 species
UGGGGAAUAUUGCACAAUGGGCGCAAGCCUGAUGCAGCCAUGCCGCGUGUAUGAAGAAGGCCUUCGGGUUGUAAAGUACUUUCAGCGGGGAGGAAGGGAGUAAAGUUAAUACCUUUGCUCAUUGACGUUACCCGCAGAAGACGCACCGGCUAACUCCGUUCCAGCAGCCGCGGUAAUACGGAGGGUGCAAGCGUUAAUCGGAAUUACUGGGCGUAAAGCGCACGCAGGCGGUUUGGUAAGUCAGAUGUGAAAUCCCCGGGCUCAACCUGGGAACUGCAUCUGAUACUGGCAAGCUUGAGUCUCGUAGAGGGGGGUAGAAUUCCAGGUGUAGCGGUGAAAUGCGUCGGGAUCUGGGGGAAUACCGGUGGCGAAAGCGGCGCCCUGGCCGAAGACUGUCGCUCAGGUGCGAAAGCGUGGGGAGCAAACAGG